rnacentral:rRNA from 1 species
AUACGGAGGGAGCAAGCGUUAUUCGGAAUCACUGGGCGUAAAGGACGCGUAGGCGGGUUUGUAAGUCAGGUGUGAAAUCCUACAGCUCAACUGUAGAACUGCACUUGAAACUACAGACCUAGAGUAUGGAAGGGGCAGAUGGAAUUAGUGGUGUAGGGGUAAAAUCCGUAGAUAUCACUAGGAAUACCGAAAGCGAAGGCGAUCUGCUGGGACAUUACUGACGCUGAGGCGUGAAAGCGUGGGGAGCAAACAGGAUUAGAAACCCCUGUAGUCC